AGGAAGUCACAGCAAGCAGCUCAGUACCUGCAGGUAACCUGCCGUGACUUUCACGGCCACCUCUCGGUUGGAGCCCUUCCUCAGCACACACAACCUAUGCUCUGGCAGCAGCCGUGAUGCCACAGCUCAGUGCCCUCUUCUGCUUUCAGCUUCUGCAAACAGUCACUGAAAGCUCUGGGCCGGCUCAUGGUGGUCCUGCUCGAGACAGAGACCAGUGGCUUCUUCCAGAACAUAGUCCAUAGAUCCAUGACGUCAGACAACAUGUGGGAGCGCAAGAGGGCCCUGCAGAUCUGCUCCCAGCUGCUGGCUGCUUGUGAAGAGCUUCGAAGAGGAGAUGCCUGCAAGCACUUUGGCUCCUUGGUGGGAUUGCUGGCGCCUCUGACGUGUGAUCCCAUGCCCACAUCCCGCCAGCUGGCUGUCACCUGUCUGAGCUCCCUUCUCCGAAUCCAAGCCAAGGCGACCAACAGAGUCAUCCAGACAGGAGACAUCGGGAGCCUGUGUGUGGGGCUGAAUGACUGCAGCACCGUCCGUCAGCUCCAGACCUCUUCCAAAAUCGCACGGAUUGUGUACAGGAACUUCCCCCUGGAAGACACCGUCGACUUCAUGAUGGCCAUCAAGGACACCUUCCGGAAGGCCAAAGGAAUGCGUGUGCGUGCUGCUGGGAGGUGGAUGAUCACCCUUCUGCAGAUGUAUGGAAAGGACAUCUGUCGGGACGUGCCACUGACCAACUACAUCCUGCGCAGCUGCACGUCGUCGCCACAGCACAGCACGUUCAUGCCAUUCCUGUCCCAGGCGGUGGUCAUCCUCACCCGCUGUCAGGCAGACAUCACGACUGACAGCUUCUUUCCGGCUGCUUUGAGCCCACAGACAGUGAGACAUGGAGGAGAAUAAGAGAGUUUUGUCUUCAAUGGUGGAGCCAGGAGAAGAAAAAACAAGAGGAAAAAUGAAAAAGGAGAAAGGAGAAAAGAAAAAAGGAAUGGGAGGAAAAGAAGAGAGGAGAGGGAGGGGGAGAGGGGGAGGGAAAGGGGAGCAACAAAAGUGGGAAGGAAAAAGGGAAAG
ensembl:lncRNA